rnacentral:rRNA from 1 species
GAUGAACGCUGGCGGCGUGCCUAAUACAUGCAAGUAGAACGCUGAAGGAGGAGCUUGCUCUUUCCGGAUGAGUUGCGAACGGGUGAGUAACGCGUAGGUAACCUGCCUGGUAGCGGGGGAUAACUAUUGGAAACGAUAGCUAAUACCGCAUAACAGUAGAUAUUGCAUGAUAUUUGCUUGAAAGGGGCAAUUGCUCCACUACCAGAUGGACCUGCGUUGUAUUUGCUAGUUGGUGAGGUAACGGCUCACCAAGGCGACGAUACAUAGCCGACCUGAGAGGGUGGUCGGCCACACUGGGACUGAGACACGGCCCAGACUCCUACGGGAGGCAGCAGUAGGGAAUCUUCGGCAAUGGACGGAAGUCUGACCGAGCAACGCCGCGUGAGUGAAGAAGGUUUUCGGAUCGUAAAGCUCUGUUGUAAGAGAAGAACGAGUGUGAGAGUGGAAAGUUCACACUGUGACGGUAUCUUACCAGAAAGGGACGGCUAACUACGUG